GCUGGGCACGGUGGUGCGUGCCUGUAAUCCCAGCUACUCAGGAGGCUGAGGCAGGAGAAUUGCCUGAACCCAGGAGGCGGAGGUUGCAGUGAGCCGAGGUCGCGCCACUGCACUCCAGCCUGGGUAACAAGAGCGAAACUCUGUCUCUA
rnacentral:sRNA from 1 species